GGCAGUGUAGCAUAGUGGUAAGGAGUAGGACUUGUAACCGAAAGGUUGCAGGUUCAAUUCUCUGCUGGAGCACUGCUG